rnacentral:rRNA from 1 species
UCUGGUUGAUCCUGCCAGUAGUGAUAUGCUUGUUUCAAAGAUUAAGCCAUGCAUGUCUAAGUAUAAGCGAACUUAUACAGUGAAACUGCGGAUGGCUCAUUAAAACAGUUUGAAUUUAUUUGAUGAAUGUAUGAGAAUACUACUUGGAUAACCGUAGUAAUUCUAGAGCUAAUACAUGCAACGACGCCCGACCGUUUCACUACGGAAGGGCUGUAUUUAUUGGAUACCAAAACCAUCCUUCCCUCGGGAAGUUUUGUUUGAUGAUUCACAAUAACUGAUCGGAUCGCCACUGUGGUGGCGACAGGUCAUUCAACAUUCUGCCCUAUCAGCUUUCGAUGGUUGUGUAGUGGACAACCAUGGCCAUAACGGGUAACGGAGAAUCAGGGUUCGAUUCCGGAGAAGGAGCUUGAGAAUUGGCUACUACAUCUAAGGAAGGCAGCAGGCGCGCAAGUUACCCAAUCCUGAUUCGGGGAGGUAGUGACAAAAAAUAACAAUACCGGGCCUUUUUGGGCUUGGUAAUUGGAAUGAGGGAGAGUUAAACGGACCAUCGAGUAUCCAUUGGAGGGCAAGUCUGGUGCCAGCAGCUGCGGUAAUACCAGCUCCGAUAGCGUAUAUUAAAGUUGUUGCAGUUAAAAAGCUCGUAGUUGGACUUGUGUGCGCUGUCCGCGGGUGGCCUGCGCCCAAAAGGGCGUUUCGGUUCGGCCCCGGUGGCGCCAUGAAAUCUGCAGCUAGGGGGACGUUGGCCUUAACUGGUCGGCGACCGCACGCCGGCUGCUCGGUUACUGUGAGAAAAUUAGAGUGUUCAAGGCAGGCAUUGGGUGCAAUUGAAUACAUUAGCAUGGAAUAAUAAAAUAUGGCUCCUGCCGUAUUUUGUUGGUUUUGACUGGUGGGAGUAAUGAUUGAUAGGGACGGUUGGGGGUGCUAGUAUUGAGCGGCCAGAGGUGAAAUUCAUGGAUUCGCUCAAGACUAACUUAUGCGAAAGCAUUCACCAAGGACGUCCUCUUUAAUCAAGAACGAAAGUUGGGGGAUCGAAGACGAUCAGAUACCGUCGUAGUCUCAACCAUAAACUACGUCGACUUGGGAUCGGCGGUAGUUUUUUCAUUAAGACACUGUCGGGACCACGGGAGAAAUCAAAGUGUCUGGACUCUGGGGGAAGUAUGGUCGCAAGGCUGAAACUUGAAGGAAUUGACGGAAGGGCACCACCAGGAGUGGAGCCUGCGGCUUAAUUUGACCCAACACGGGGAAACUUACCAGGUCCAGAGAUGUAGAGGAUUGACAGAUUGAAGCUCUUUCUUGAUCACUUCGGUGGUGGUGCAUGGCCGUUCUUAGUUGGUGGAGUGAUUUGUCUGGUUAAUUCCGUUAACGAACGAGACCUCAGCCUGCUAGUGUAGUCGGCUGGAUUGCCUUUGGCGAUCCGUGAUUUCGACUUCUUAGAGGGACAAUCGACGCGCAGUCGAUGGAAG